UAGGGAAUCUUCGGCAAUGGACGGAAGUCUGACCGAGCAACGCCGCGUAAGUGAAGAAGGUUUUCGGAUCGUAAAGCUCUGUUGUAAGAGAAGAACGAGUGUGAGAGUGGAAAGUUCACACUGUGACGGUAUCUUACCAGAAAGGGACGGCUAACUACGUGCCAGCAGCCGCGGUAAUACGUAGGUCCCGAGCGUUGUCCGGAUUUAUUGGGCGUAAAGCGAGCGCAGGCGGUUAGAUAAGUCUGAAGUUAAAGGCUGUGGCUUAACCAUAGUAGGCUUUGGAAACUGUUUAACUUGAGUGCAAGAGGGGAGAGUGGAAUUCCAUGUGUAGCGGUGAAAUGCGUAGAUAUAUGGAGGAACACCGGUGGCGAAAGCGGCUCUCUGGCUUGUAACUGACGCUGAGGCUCGAAAGCGUGGGGAGCAAACAGGAUUAGAUACCCUGGUAGUCCACGCUGUAAACGAUGAGUGCUAGGUGUUAGACCCUUUCCGGGGUUUAGUGCCGUAGCUAACGCAUUAAGCACUCCGCCUGGGGAGUACGACCGCAAGGUUG
rnacentral:rRNA from 1 species